rnacentral:rRNA from 1 species
UGACGAGUGGCGGGACGGGUGAAGUAAAGUCGUUAGGGAAUCUGUCUUAUGGAGGGGGAUAACUACGGGAAACUGUAGCUAAUACCGCAUAAAAUCUGAGGAUAAAAGGGUGGGCUCUUCGGACCACCUGCCAUAAGGUGAGCCCAAGUGGGAUUAGGUAGUUGGUGGGGUAAAGGCCUACCAAGCUGACGAUCUCUAGCUGGUCUGAGAGGAUGACCAGCCACACUGGAACUGAGACACGGUCCAG